rnacentral:misc_RNA from 1 species
AAUUCUCAACCUUACCAGCUUUUGCGAGUUCGGUAAUGGCUUGGAUGUGGGGGUUUUGUGCCGGCUUCCUAGUGAAGUCAGCUCCCCUUAAAUGUAUUAGCCGGUGCCCUUUGUGGACUGUCUAUUGGUGUGAUAAUUAUCUACGCCGUGGACUUCUGCUUUGAAUAGGUGCACUGCUUCUAACCGUCUGUUCAUUCGGACAAUACUUGACA